UACUCGGAGCACAUUAACGAGUUUUGAAACGAGUUGUAGCUGGCCUUCCGAGGCAUGUGCACGCUCUGCUCAUCCACUCUACCCCUGUGCACUUACUGUAGGUUGGCGUGGGCUCCUUUGCGGGAGCAUUCUGCCGGCCUAUGUAUACUACAAACACUUUAAAGUAUCAGAAUGUAAACGCGUCUAACGCAUCUAUAAUACAACUUUUAGCAACGGAUCUCUUGGCUCUCGCAUCGAUGAAGAACGCAGCGAAAUGCGAUAAGUAAUGUGAAUUGCAGAAUUCAGUGAAUCAUCGAAUCUUUGAACGCACCUUGCGCUCCUUGGUAUUCCGAGGAGCAUGCCUGUUUGAGUGUCAUGGAAUUCUCAACUUAUAAAUCCUUGUGAUCUAUAAGCUUGGACUUGGAGGCUUGCUGGCCCUUGCGGUCGGCUCCUCUUGAAUGCAUUAGCUCGAUUCCGUACGGAUCGGCUCUCAGUGUGAUAAUUGUCUACGCUGUGACCGUGAAGUGUUUUGGCGAGCUUCUAACCGUCCAUUAGGACAACUUUUUAACAUCUGACCUCAAAUCAGGUAGGACUACCCGCUGAACUUAAGCAUAUCAAAAAGGGGGGAGGAAA
rnacentral:rRNA from 1 species